GCCGGGGUAGCCUAGCCAGGAUUAAGGCGCAGGCCUGGAGAGCCUGUGCCCCAUACGGGGCUCGCGGGUUCAAAUCCCGCCCCCGGCGCCA
rnacentral:tRNA from 1 species